CGACCGGCGCACGGGUGCGUAACGCGUAUGCAACCUACCUUUAACAGGGGGAGUAACACUGAGAAAUUGGUACUAAUACCCCAUAAUAUCAUAGAAGGCAUCUUUUAUGGUUGAAAAUUCCGAUGGUUAGAGAUGGGCAUGCGUUGUAUUAGCUAGUUGGUGGGGUAACGGCUCACCAAGGCGACGAUACAUAGGGGGACUGAGAGGUUAACCCCCCACCACUGGUACUGAGACACGGACCAG
rnacentral:rRNA from 1 species